CCUCAUUACCAAAUCACCCGGAAUGCGUCCGAUCUCAACAGAUCUCGGAAACUAAAGCAGGGCUGAGCCUGGUUGGUGCACGGAGGGGUGAUCACCAAGCAAUGAACUGCCGUUGUAGGCC
rnacentral:rRNA from 1 species